CCUCGUGAUCUGCCCACCUCAGCCUCGCAAAGUGCUGGGAUUACGGGCAUGAGCCACCGCACCCAGCCUUAAUACAAAUUUAAUUUUAUCUUAUUAUUGUUGAGACUCCCUAGAACUAAUAGGACAGGACAGACUCAUCGUUCAGUUUACCUACUGACCUUUCAGGGCCUGGACUGGCAGCCCAGCAACAGGAUUUAUAAUUGAAAAUACACCUCCAGGUGGCCAGGUGCGGUGGCUCACACCUGUAAUCCCAGCACUUUGGGAGGCCGAGGCGGGCGGAUCACGAGGUCCGGAGAUUGAGACAUGGUGAAACCCUGUGUCUACUAAAAAUACAAAAGUUAGCCAGGUGUGGUGAUGGGCGCCUGUAGUCCCAGCUACUCGGGAGGCUGAGGCAGGAGAAUGGAGUGAACCCGGGAGGCAGAGGUUGCAGUGAGCCGAGAUCGCACCACCGCACUCCAGCCUGGGUGACAGAUCGAGACUCUGUCUCAAAAAAGAAAAAGAUAAUAUACCUCCAGGCAGGCUGGGUGCAGUGGCUCAGCCUGUAAUCCCAGCACUUUGGGGGGUCAAGGCGGGCGGAUCACGAGGUCCGGAGAUUGAGACAUGGUGAAACCCCGUGUCUACUAAAAAUACAAAAGUUAGCCAGGUGUGGUGAUGGGCGCCUGUAGUCCCAGCUACUCGGGAGGCUGAGGCAGGAGAAUGGAGUGAACCCGGGAGGCAGAGGUUGCAGUGAGCCGAGAUCGCACCACUGCACUCCGGCCUGGGUCACAAAGCGAGACUCUGUCUCAAAAAAAAGAAAAAAGAAAAUAUACCUCCAGGUAAGGCACACUUCUUAGUUCCUACAAAAUGAAAUGUAUUUAGAGGCUGCAGGGUACCUGGAAAAUGCAACAGCUAUUGGCCUGUUCUGAGGCGACUGGACAUCGUAUCUGACAUCAAAGCUUCCAGAGGUGGUCUGGACUAAGUCACCUGUUGCCACCCACAAAGCAUGACCAAAUAAGCUUACUUUCAGGCAAGUCCAUGGAAACUAAAACGCAAGAUUCAGAUCUCCUCCACUAAGGGUUAUGGGGAGGAUGUUCUGACUGGCAGUUGUGUGUCCUGAUUGUGUUGAAUUGAAUAGCAUAUUAACCACUUGGUAGAGUCUUUUUUUUUUUUUUUUUUUUGGAGUCAGAGUUUGGCUCUGUUGCCCAGGCUGGAGUGCAGUGGCAGGAUGUUGGCUCACCACAGCCUCCACCUCCUGGGUUCAAGUGAACCUCCCAUCUCAGCCUCCCAAGUAGCUGGAACUACAGGCAUGUGCCACCAUGCCUGGCUAAUUUUUAUGUUUUUAGUAGAGACAGGGUUUCGCCAUGUUGGCCAGGCUGGUCUCAAACUCCUGGCCUCAAGUGAUCUGCCUGCCUCCUCAGCCUCCCAAAAUGCUGAGAUUACAGGCGUGAGUCACUGCGCCUGGCCCGCUUCAUAGAGUCUUAGGAAAAGGGGUAGCAGAACCUGGACGUGAGGCUCCACAGGACUUGCUAGUUGUACUUAGCUACAUCCUAGUCCCUUCUCUGCCCCCACAAAGCCCAGCAGAGGCGACCAUGGCCAUCUUGGAGCUAGUUCUCAAUGUGGGAAAAAAUCAGUUCUAUGUCAAAAAUCUUCAGAAAAUGAGAGACGAGACCUGAGUCUUCAGGCUUACUUUCAUGUACGGAGAUGACAUGCUUGCACUCAACUUAUCGGUGAGUGGGAGGGCAAGUCUCUGCGUGGGAAGAACAAAUGGCCCCUCCCCAAGCAGGCUGAGCCAUCGUCGCCGGGCCUUGAACCCCUAGCUGAACACACACGCAGGCAGAAACUGAUUUCCCCUAAAACAGAGGUUAGCGGAUCUUUGGAAUCCAAGAUUCUGGACGGCCUCGGGUCUCCCGGGAGGGCCCUGGGCGGCCUCGGGUCUCCCGGGAGGACCCUCUUCAAAGAGCACUUCUGCUUUCUCACCAGUGCUGCCAAGACCCCCGAUGCUCCAGAAUGGCCAUCAGUGCCGGGCCCCACCCCCAUCCUCUCCACCUGAAUGGGCACUGGCUGGGGGCCCUGUGCUUCACAGCAUUUCACAGAACAUAAGAAGAGUUAAGUGCCCUGGAAAUGGAACUAGAGGCAGGACAGAAGCCUCAAUAAGGCCGUGGGCAGUGAGCGCCCGCCAGCAAGGAUGUGCCUCGGCAGAAGCCCCCUGGGGCAGGGACAGGGCAGGCUCAAGACAGGCCAGGUCCCGUUCUUCAGGAAGCCGUCCCAGAUUGCCAGCAUGAGCCUGUAUGCUCACUCACCUCUUCUGCUAGGCUAGGGCUGCUGUGGAAAGCUCCAAAGUGGCCCGUUUCUUCACCAGACCCUUCUGGAGAGCUGCCCACCCAGGGGCUUCACCGCAAGCGAAAUCAACACGAUGCCCAACGGGCACGUCAAUAUGUGCAAAGCACUCAAAACCGUCUUCUGUAACUGGGAGUUAGACAUGAGGGCCAGCCACAAGAGCUCCCCUGCUGAGACACAGUGAGCUCCCUCACACGCUCACUGUGAGUAUUCAAAACUCCAUUUAAACUGACAAUCCUGAAAGCUGUUUACAUAUCUGUUCUUAAAGACUAAAUCUUUAACUUUCCCAAUUCUGUCUCAUGAGCUCAAUGAAAGAAAUCUUUUAGUAAAAUGCAGAAAGUAUCCUCUUUCACACACAGGACAGACAGCACAGCUUGCAAAGACCGAUCACUUCCUCCCACCAAGACAAGCACUGGCCUGGGCUGCGCAUGCAGGGGAGGAGGCAGGGCCCUGGUGGCCCCACAGCGUGCAGGGUGGGAGGCGGGGCCCCAGGGAGAGUCCCGCUGCCUGAGAGGCUCCUGGUCGCCUCGGGGCAGGCCCUCAAGGGGGCUGUGGGUAUCCGGAGUCCCCCACACCCUGGGAACAGACAGCAAGGCCAGGCGCUGGUCAGUUACCUAUUCAUUUCAAGAUCACUCAGGCGGGCAGAAAGAUCCUCAAGGCGGUUGAUUUGUUUGUGGCACUGGCUACAGUAAAACUCAAACGCCUCAUCAGUGAGGAUGCUGUGCAGCUUUGCGGCAAGAGGGUCAGUGCUAGAGAGACAGAAGCAUCCGUUCAGGAGAGGAUGAGGACCCGUGUGGUCAUCUGUGACUCCGCACGAGGGGCCGAGGGGAACAGGACAGGACAUGGUGUGGAACAAAAGCACGUGGAGAGAGAAUGAGCUGUGCAAUGUUCUGGCUCUUGCCUUUAGACCGCAGUGAGCCCACAUCCCUCAGCUGCCUCCAGGAGCCCAGGACAGGCACCAGCUCGAGCCUCAGGGGGCCCUGCACACACCUGCUCCUCUGGGUCGGGUGCCCAGAAGAAAGCAGGGGCAGCCUGAGAGCCUCCUUGCAAAGCAAAAGCCCUUCUUUAACAAGAAGGUAAAAAACCAUACUGCUUUCUCUUUUGCCAAAAACACAUCAAUGUGAUAGCGAACCAUGUCUCCGGGUAAACUUGUACUUACUGUACUAUAUUUAUGAUUACUCCAAAAACCACCUCUAGCAAAAACUAUGCAUGAAUGAUAAAUCUACAAUAGUUUUGUGAUUUUUUAAGAUGUGCGUUAAAGCCGGGCAUGGUGGCUCCUGCUUCUAAUUCCAGCACUUUGGGUGGAUCGCUUGAGCUCAGGCGUUUGAGACCAGCCUGGGCAACAUGGUGAACCCGUCUCUACAAAAAAUACAAAAUUAGCCCGGCGUAGUAGCUCAUACCUGUAGUCCCAGCUACUCAGGAAGCUGAGGGAGGUGGAGGCUGCAGUGAGCCAUGAUUGCACCACUCCAGCCUGGGCAAUAAAGUGAGAUCCUGUCUCAAAAAACCCCCAAAAAGACCGACCUGUCGAAACUCAGUGUUAGAUUUUGUGGUGGUGCUAGCUAACCUCCCUGUGACUUCACCUCCAAGGGCUUCUGGGCCACUGGCAGGGGUGCUGCGUCUGCGACGCGAAGGCAAAGGAGCAAAGGCAGCCUCAUCGCGGGCGCUGGGACCCACAUGCUGUGGGAAACCAUUUGGAAGCUCAAGUAAAGAAAGGUGAAAAGUGAAACAUACAAUGUAGCAUAGACAUUACACUUCAAACAGGUAACAAUGAAAACACUGAACAGGAGACAGGGACAAACUAAACACGUAGGAAGAGGUGAUUACCAAGCACAGAGACCCAAGUUUAGAAACGCCCCAGUCCUCUGGCCCUUGUCUUGACACCACCACGCGCUGGGAGAGGAAAGUGCCUAAGACAAGCACACUGCCUCUGAGGACCGUCUGUGAUGCCUCACUCAUGCACAGCUCUCCCAGGACGCUCGCCGGGACCAGAGCACACAGGAUAUCCGUGCAGGGUCCCCACACCCAGGGCUGACGGGCGGCUUCAAGGAGGGCACAU
rnacentral:lncRNA from 1 species